rnacentral:tRNA from 1 species
GGCGCUAUAGCCAAGCGGUAAGGCAUAGGUCUGCAAAACCUUUAUCCCCAGUUCAAAUCUGGGUGGCGCCU